AAGGGAGACCUAAUUCAGGUAGGAGACGAAAAAAAAGUAGUCCCUACCAGGAAUCAAUCCCAAAAGGUCGGAGCGAGGCGAAAUUGGCUUUCAAACUAGGUUCUGGGUUCAAACAAGACCUGAAUCAGGAACAAGGGCUAUUAGCUCAGGUGGUUAGAGCGCACCCCUGAUAAGGGUGAGGUCCCUGGUUCGAGUCCAGGAUGGCCCACCUGCACAGGUGGCAAAAACAAGAGAAGCGAGGAAUCAGCACCUUAUCUUACUGACAUAGUAAGAGAGAAUGCUGGCUCUGAGUAAAGAGUCCAGAGGAACCUUGAAAACUGCAUAGAGCUAGGUGAAGAAGCCAAAAAAGAAGACCGCAAGGUCAAGCUAAUAAGGGCUAACGGUGGAUACCUAGGCAC
rnacentral:tRNA from 1 species